rnacentral:rRNA from 1 species
UCCGGUUGAUCCCGCCGGAGACUACUCCUAUCAGGUUCCGACUAAGCCAUGCGCGUCAUUGCAGCAAUGCAAGGCGCACUGCUCAGUAACACGUAGUCAACAUGCCCUAUACAGGGGGAUAACCUUGGGAAACUGAGUGUAAUACCCCAUAGGCAAGGAAGGCUGGAAGGCAUUCUUGCUGAAAGCCGCAAGGCGGUGUAGGAUUGGACUGCGGCCGAUCAGGUCGUUGUUAGGGUAACUGCCUAACAAGCCUAUAAUCGGUACGGGUCGUGAGAGCGAUAGCCCGGAGAUGCACUCUGAGACAUUAGUGCAGGUCCUACGGGACGCAGCAGGCGCGAAACCUUUGCAAUGGGCGAAAGCCUGACAAGGGGAGCCUGAGUGAUGUCGCAAUGCGAUAUCUUUUCUGGAGUCUAGAAAGCUCCAGGAAUAAGUGGUGGGCAAGACGGUUGCCAGCCGCCGCGGUAAUAACCGCGCCGCAAGGGGUAGUCACGAUUAUUGGGCCUAAAGCGUCCGUAGCCGGCUUGAUAAGUCUCUGGUGAAAUUCUAUGGAAAACCGUGGAAAUGGCUGGAGAUACUAUCAGGCUUGGGACCGGGAGAGGCUGAGGGUACGUCAUGGGUAAGGGUUAAAUCUUUUAAUCCAUGACGGACCACCUGUGGCGAAGGCGUUCAGCUGGAACGGGUCCGACGGUGAGGGACGAAAGCGUGGGGAGCAACCUGGAUUAGAUACCCAGUUAGUCCACGCUGUAAACGAUGCCCACUUGGUGUCGCACAUCCUUCGGGGACGUGCGGUGCCGUAGCGAAGGUGUUAAGUGGGCCGCCUGGGGAGUACGGUCGCAAGACUGAAACUUAAGGGAAUUGGCGGGGGAGCACUACCAGGGGUGGAGGCUGCGGUUUAAUUGGAUUCAACGCCAGGAACCUUACCCGCAAAGACAGCAGAAUGAGGGUCACUCUAAAGGGGUUACCUGACAAGCUGAGAAGUGCUGCAUGGCCGUCGUCAGUUCGUGCCGUGAGGUGUCGUCUCAAGUGACGAAACGAACGAGACCCGCGCUGCUAGUUGCUACUGUUCUCUCCGGAGAGCAAGCACUCUAGUGGGACCGAUGCUGCUAAAGCAUAGGAAGGAGCGGUCUACGGCAGGUCAGUAUGGCCUGAAUUUGUGGGGAUACACGCGGCCUACAAUGCGCAGGACAAUGGGAUGCAACACCGUGAGGUGAAGCCAAUCUCCUAAACCUGUGCUUAGUUCGGAUUGAGGGCUGCAACUCGCCCUCAUGAAGCCGGAAUCCCUAGUAAGCGAAGGUCACCAUCUUUCGCUGAAUACGUCCCUGCUCCUUGCACACACCGCCCGUCAAGCCAUCUAAGUGGGGUCUUGGUGAGGCUCGCGAUGAGCGAUUCGAAUCAAGUCUCUGCAAAGAGGGCUAAGUCGUAACAAGGUAGCCGUACGGGAACGUGCGGCUG